rnacentral:lncRNA from 1 species
AAUUAUUUUUAAAGAAAAAAUCACAUAAUGUUUUUUAGUGUAAAAAGUGUGAAUUAUUUAAUCAAAUAUCUAAAUUAAUUUUAAUAUAAAUAUUAACGGCCUAAAUUUGCCUAAUACGUGGUAAGGAUUGUAUAAAUAAAGAACAUCCCCGCCCAACGCUCCAAAAAUAAAGAUUUCACUAUAAUUAAUAUUUGUACAAUGAUAAGAAUAAAAGAAAAUACAAAUACUAAAAAAAGUAAGCUCUUCUUUGAAUAUCAUUCCCGACGAGUAUUUCUAAGAACCUGUACAAACAUUUAUAAUAAAAAUAUUAGUAACAAAUAAAUAAUUAUCAAAAUAAAUGUAAAAGGUAUGUGUGCAUAUAUGUAUUUAAAAAUAUAAUUUUUUGCUAAAAGAUGGGCUCAAAUUAAAUUUUAGAUACACCAUGGCUACGAAGGGGUUGCUUAAUUUGUUGGCCGUCAUAAAUCGCCUUGCCAAGAUACGAUUCAUAAAAUCUUUUGUGUUUUAAUAAAAAUUUCGUCAUCGACCAAAUUUAUUUAUUUUAUUAUGUAUUUAUUUACGUAACAUCCGUCUUUUUAUUUGUGGAGGCCUCAGAAAUCGACAGAAAAAUUUCUUCAUCGGCCAUUUCAUAUAACAUUUGUUCAUUGUAAGUGUUAUAUCAAAUAAAAAAAUGAAUAGGAAGAAUUCCAAAAAAAAUCAGUCUAUAUUUUUCAGGAAUAAAUGUGAACAGUUGACAACACUAGUAAAAUAUCAACAAAUAUACGGAGUAGUCAAUAAACCCAAAAGGGCGAGACAAAUACCCAAAAUCAUAAACAGGUUCAUGGUCAAGCACCAUUCAUCAUAGAAGUCCACAAUGAUCACCAAUAAGAUUAGAAACACCAUAAUUUAAAGUUAACAAAGACAAUCAUAGACAGGACCAAACAAAUAAAUGAGCUAAAAAUGAGUUGUCGGAGUGAAAUUUUUUGAUUAGAUCUGGUGCGUCGAUGGUGGUGAACAUUAUUUCUAAAUAAUAAAUAAUAAAACAGAUGAGGUAGGGAGAGGACUAGCGGCGAUGGUGCGGCUGGAGGUUUGUGGGUUCGCUCGUCGGUAGCCAACUCCUGCGAAGCAACAGUGGAGAAAGAAAAGAGGGCAGCGAUAAUUGGUGUUGCUGGAUCGACACUAGUUAAACCGGUGGAAGGAGAUGAUGGGGAGAAAGAACGAAGGAGAAGAGAGAAGAGAGGAGGAGUGGUUGAAGGCUAGUGGUGGUGCGGUGAUUCUCCGACUGGAAUAUUGCCGUAGAAGGUGGGCAACGGUUGUUUAUGUGGGAGACGAGAAGAUGUGGCUGUGCAUAAAUUGUGUGUGUGAAUGUGUAUUUGUGUUAAAGUGUGUAUUGUAUAUGUUAAAACAAAAAUUAACCCCCCUUCCUUCUUAUAAUAAAAAUUGAUCCUCUCAAUUAUCCAAAAAAUAAAAAAUUGACCUCUCUUGUCUCCUCAAAAUUUCUUUUAAUCCGAAAGUUAUUUACCGAAAAAUUUUACAUCCUUUUAACCUGUGUAUAAAAAUUAUUUAUUCAACGGAUGAAAAUCUCAACCCGUCACUUCAAACAUCAACUUUUAAAAAGUGACGAGACCUUGACCUGACUGAUUUAUUGCUCUUUGUAUAAAAAUAAUUGAGCCGACAUUAUCGUUUGCAGAUUGUAUUAAAUAAGGUACAAAAAUAUGAAUGUCGAUGUAUAAUUACAGAAAAAUGUAAACAACAAAUAAAAUACAAUUAUCUUUGAAAAAUGUAUUGUCCUAUAAACAAUUAAAAUUAUAAUUAUGUAAAAAAGAAUUGUAGUGUUAUGUUAUGUAUGUAUGUAGAUGACUGUGUAAAAAAUAUUAAAAUGAUAUCAAACUGAUAAAAAUUCUAAAAUAAUAAAAUUAAGGAUAAUUAUAUAAAAAUUAAUAUAUGACAAUAUAGUACUAAAAAUUCUAAAAUAAUGACAAUUAUCAAUAAUUUGUUAAAAAAUAUAAAAAUAUGUAUAAAAUUUUAUUUUGUGCCCUUUAACUAUCACAAAACCUAAAACCGUUAAUUUAGGCACGGAGAGUCAAAAUUGAGUGUCAAAAUUUUGCCCCUUUUCGUUUGAAGAUGAUGUAGAAGUCUUCAGACGAAAACAUUGACGUGUAGCCAAUUUUGCUCAACAAAAAUAUUUUGAUAAAGAAAUUCGACUGAACUCUGCAUAGAUUUGCCUACAUACUUUGAGUUGUAUGAGGAUCAGGUCAGGUAUAGUUCAGGUCGGGUAUAGUUCAAAAGAUUAGGCAAAUUUCCCUAUUAUUAAGGGUAAAACACCGUGUGAAAUAAUUAAUGAAAUAUGGACUAAUUGGGAACAAAAGUGUUUAUCUAUUCCCUAUGCCUCUUUCAAAAUUGCCAGUAUCGAACUGUGAGAUGCUGGGAUGCAAGAUUCUGUACUUACUGGGGAGAAAGAACAAUUAUGAUUGUGAUGAUCAAACUUCAAAUAGAGCUUUCUAUAUAUCUCGAGUGUCACGAGAAUCAGGUCAAUGUAGUUCAAAAUGAGAAAAAUAGGAUAAGUUUGAGGCGAUUCUCAAAAUUGGCCACAUUAUAUGAUUCAUGGCUAAAACUAUCUUAUGGAAAAGAAAUGUCUUAUUGUGGAUUAUAUUUCCAACUGAAAAGAUGUAUGACAUCUCCGAUUGUCUACGGGGACUUGAGGAUGAAUGAUGUCUCUGAUUGUUUACGGAGACUGGUGUGAUGAAUAAAAGAUGUCUGUGAUUAUCUAAGGAGACUAUGUGAUGAAUGAAAGAUGGAUUCGAUUGUAUACAGACUAUAUGAUGAAUAAUAGUUGUCUUUGAUUGUCUACUAAGACUAUGUGAUGAAUAAAAAAUAUCUCUGAUUGUCUACAGAGACUUGAUGACACUCUAAUUGUCUAUGAAGACGGAUGUUGAUUGUUGUAUCCAAUUUUCUACAGAGACUAAUGUUGAAUGAUGAUGUCUUCGAUUGUAUAGAAGACUUGAUGACAUCUUCAGUUGUCUAUGGGGAUGGAUGUUGAUUGGCGUCUCUGAUUGUCUACAGAGACUAAUGGUGAAUGAUGAUGUCUUCGAUUGUCUAUGAAGACUAUGAACAAAAGAUGUCUCCAAUUGUCUUCAGAGAUUUAAUGGAUGAUAUCUCCAAUUGUCUAUGGAGACUGAUAUUAAUUGUCAUCUUUGAUUGUCUACGAAGACUGACAAAUGACAUCUCCAAUUGUCUAUGGAGACUGAUGUUGAUUGUCGUCUUUGAUUGUCUACGAUGACUGAUGGAUAAUAUCUCUAAUUGUCUAUGAAGACUGAUGGAUGACAUCUCCAAUUAUCUAUAGAGAUUGAUGUUGAUUUGUCCUCUCCAAUUUUCUACGAAGACUAUGUGAUGAAUAAAAAAUAUCUCCAAUUAUCUACGGUGACUUGAUGACAUCUCCAAUUAUCUAUGGAGACGGAUGUUGAUUGUUGUCUCCGAUUGUCUACAAAGACUGAUGUUAAAUGAUGAUGUCUUCGAUUGUAUAUGAAGACUUAAUGAUAUCUCCAGUUGUCUAUGGAGAUGGAUGUAUGACAUCUCCAAUUAUCUAUGGAGACUGAUGAUAAACGACGCCUUCGAUUGUCUAUAGAGACUAUGUCAUGAAUGAUGUCUUCGAUUAUCUAUGAAGACUAUGUCAUGAAUGUUUUCUUCGAUUGUAUACGAAGACUAUGUGUGAUAUCUCCGAUUGUCUACAGAGAUGAAUGUGGAUUUUUGUCUCCGAUUGUCUACGGAGAUUGGUGUUGAAUGAUGAUGUCUUUGAUUGUAUAUGAUACUUGAUGACAUCUCCAAUUGUCUAUGGAGAUAGAUGCAUGAUAUCUCCAAUUGUCUAUGGAGACUGAUGUUGAUUUUCAUCUUCAAUUGUCUAUGAAGACUGACAGAUGAUUGUCGCCUCCAAUUAUCUAUGAAGACUAUGUAUGAUACCUCCGAUUGUCUACAGAGACUUGAUGACGUCUCUGAUUGUCUACAAAGACUGUCUCAUGAAUGAUGUCUUUGGUUGUCUAUGAAGACUUAUGUUGAUUGUAUCUCUGAUUAUCUACGAAGACUUGAUAAUAAAAUGACACCUCUUAUUCUCUACAGAUGAAUGUUGUCUUUGAUUGUCUACGAAGAAUAUGUUGAUUGUCAUCUCCGAUUGUUUACUAAGGCUAUGUGAUGAUUGAAAGAUGUCUUCGAUUGUCUACGAAGACUAUGUUGAUUGUUGCAUAAUAUCCCCAGUUGUCUACGGAGACUGAUGUUGGUUGUCGUCUUCGAUUGUCUACAAAGACUGAGACCCUCAACUAAUAAGGUGACCAAAAUCUAAUAGCCUUUUCGACGGGAAGGGCUAUUGAAAUGUAAAAAGUUCUCGAUUAAGAGAAUGAAUGUAAUAGCCUCUCGACUGACGGGGUUGUAAAAAAUGUAAAAUACAGGUAUUUAAAGGUAUGUUCCUGAAAGAAAAAGACAAAAUGUCCGUAUUUAAAAAUCGGGAGCCUUAAAUAAAAAUAAAAAAAUACAUAAAUGUGAAAGUAGGUACCUUUAAUGAAAGGUAAAAAAGAAUGUUCGUAUGUGAAAAUGAGCGUCUUCAAAAAUGAAAGAAUUUUUUAUAUUUUCUUGACAAAAGUGUUGAAAGACAAAGAAGACACGGUCGUGUCUUGACUUCAAUUGGUACCAAUAAUUAGUAGUGUACAUAAGAAUUCUCCCAUCUCUUUCCCAACUAACCGAGAUCGACUUCUGGGUAACUCUUAUAGUUUCAAGUGGUACCUAAGACAUACCUAAGUAUCGACAAGAUUUAUUCGUCUUGUUUCAAAUAAAGGUUUUAUGAAACUACACCUAACCUCAUGCUUCAAGUGCCCUCUCCAGAAAGAAAGUCUCAUUUCACAUAUAUUUGAGUAAGAUUUUGAUUUGGGGACGUCAAAAGAAAUACACUCACACUCAAAAAGAAAUUCAAUGCAUGCAGUUGGGAUACCACAGGCUUGACCUUCAUGUAAGUAUCCAAUAAUGUGAGAACACUUGGAAUAGGAUCCUGUAGGUAUUGUUACUGUCUUGUAAUAUAGGUUUGGAGGCAGGUAGGAUGAUAUUUGGGAUGAAAGUGACUAAUUCCUCAAUGAGCGUUGCACUGUACCUGUGCUUUCAAUAUUUGUUGCACUUUGACGUGUGAUCUUCUUUGUUGUCCUUCUUUGACCUUUGUUUUUGUAUAUGCUUCGACUUCUUUUGAAUCUUGUGUUAAAAUUUUCCCCUUUUUUUCAAGAAAUUAUAUAUUUUUUUGUUCUUUUUUUCUUUUCUCCUUUUUUGUGGGGGAUUUGCUCCUUUUGAAGACGUUUUUUUUAUUUUGUUCUUCUAGGACACUAUAUCUUUUGCAUUUUGCGUCUUUGAUCUUGAAUCUUCAUCCACGAUUUGCACGUAUUUAGAGCACUCAAGGAGGUAGGGCCAAAAGAAGGACAGUGCAUGUAAGCACUCAAAAAGGUAUAGGCACAGAUGUGGUUGCCCAAAGAAAAGGUUUUAGGCUCAAAAAAGAAAAUGCUAAGGAUUAAUGUCAUUUGGUGGGAUGUGAAAGGCUCAAUCAGGUCAAAUAAGGCCUACAAUCCUUUCCUAAACCAAGUAUAUCUCAGAAUUUCGCCUCAACAAACAUUUAGGACAAGUUCAAGAUCAACAUUGCAAUGCAAUGAAUUAAACUAAAGCUCACCACAGAAUGCACAUUAAAUGCUGAGGUUGGUUUCGUUCUUGUCUUAGAUUUAUGCAAGAGAAUUUUUCAAGUGUUACUCGGGUGUGAUAAAAGAUACCAAAAGAAUCUAUGGUUUAUUAUGAAGUCGGUCCUUUUCAUCAUACCAAUUUGUUCUUUCUCAUGCACACUCCUAACUGUAUUGGUACCAACUAAGUCAAAAUUAUUUUUUUAUUUAGAAAAGAAAUGGGACUGAACCUAAAUGAGGGUUGCCUACGUAUCUUGUGAAUACAAGAAUCAGGUCUGCGUAGUUCAGGAAAAUUUGUGAAUUUGUAUGUGCAAUGUAUGAUUGUAAAAAAAUGAUGGUCAUUCUCGAAAAUAAUAUGAAAGGCGAUCAGGAAAGAAUUAUUUUUAACAUCAAAAUUAUUCUGAUCAAAUGAUCGAGAGAAUGGAUGUCAUGCAUAAGGAGAGCUUUGACACAACUUCAGUAUACUGACAAGAUUGAAAAAGUCAAACACUAAAGAAAUUACGACAUUAUUUCGCCGCAGUUGGCAAGAUUAUUAUAACUGAAAAAAUAUAUAAUCCUUGCGUUUGAAAGUAAGGAUCGAUACACCAUAAAUUUAAUGGUUUAUGAUGUUCGAAAUAAGAAGUUAGAUAUUUUCGCAUCAAAAUUGGGUGAGUAUCUGGAGGUAGGCCGACUGGACACUAAUGUAAUUAAGAUUUGGAUUUGAGGAGUUAUUGAUUUGCGCUCUUGAAGAAUUUUGGAGAGCGGUUUUUAACUAUUUCAGAAAAUUUCACCAUUUUUAAAUACCGGAGAAAUCAUUCUGAAAUAAUGAAAAGACUGAACCCUAAUGUAGGGUUGCCUAUAUAUCUUGUCAGGAUAAGAAUCAGGUUAAAACGUAGUUCAAACCUAUACGCAGUUAGUGCGAUGUUGGUAAGGUGUAUCUUUUAACAGAUCAACCAUGCAAAACAAAAAUUAGAUUACAUCUUCCCACAAAAGAAUAAAUAAUUUUGAAUAAAUAAAUAUGUAUAGACACAAUAAUCCUUCAAAUAUGUACAAGGACUAUAAUAAUGUGUUACGUGAGUUGUGAACCCUUCGAACAUAAAGUAGACUAAUGAUGCAUAUGCAUAAAAAGGUGUUGUUUUAUCUCUAUCCUAUGUUCGACUAAGAGUGAGUGUGCUAGACCUGUGGUUCUCGAGCGAACUACUCGAGUGAGAAGGUUAUGCAGGUACACAGAAAAAGAUCCGGAUACCCCGCGCAUACGCCAUCUCUCCUGAAAUUUAGGAUUUUGAAAGAAAUUUGUGGGUGCGCAAAACACACAUCACUUGUAUGUGUGAUUAUGUCAGCUUUCCCAAAUGGAAGAAAUAUGAACGGAAUGAUAGUUUAUAUAAAGCAAUAAACUGCAAAAUAAAUCAAAUAAAUAAUCUAUGCCACACAAAUAGGAUAAAUCAAGAUAAUUAGAAAGAAACAAAUAAUAAUGUAUAAAAAUAUAAAUAUUUACCUAAAUCUGUAAUGGUUAGAACCUUGCUAGUCUCCAGCAGAGUCGUAAAACUAUCAUACCCAAUGUUUACCUAAGGUCAAAACAAACACGACAUUCUAGACUAAAAAAAAAUUAAUUUUGUACGAAGUCACCACCUAAUUUUUAAGAAAAAAUAGGAAACCUACUUAUUUAUUAACAAGUAUGCCUUUAUUUAAUGUACGAAACCAGUUUGAAUUCUAGGUCAGGGUUCAAAUUAUUCCGAAGGGAGGGAUUAGGCACCCUUCAGAAUCCACAAAUAUGGUACCUGACCAGCCUUAGGUUUAUUAUUAAAAGAUAAAAAGAAAAAUCAAUGUUUGAAAAUACAAAAAUAAUAUAAUACAUAUGUUUAUUGUAAAAUGUAUAUAUAAACGCACUUAAAGAUGUAUAAACAAACGUAUAUAAGGAUAUAUAUAAAAAAAAAAAUUGAAUAACAAAACAAAUUGUUUUUAAAGAAAAAUUUACAUAAUAUUUUUUAGUGUAAAAAGUGUGAAUUAUUUAAUCAAAUAUCUAAAUUAAUUUUAAUCUAACUAUUAACAGCCUAAAUUUGCUUAACACGUGGUAAGGAUUGUAUAAAUAAAGAACAUCCCCACCCAGCGCCCCAAAAAUAAAGAUUUCACUAUAAUUAAUAUUUGUACAAUGAUAAGAAUAAAAGAAAAUACAAAUACAAAAAAAUUCAAGCUCUUCUUUGAAUAUCAUUCCCGGCGAGUAUUCUCGAGAACCUGUAAAGAAAUUAUAAUAAAAAUAUUAGUAACAAAUAAAUAAUUAUCAAAAUAAAUUUAAAAGAUAUGUGUGCAUAUAUGUAUUUAAAAAUAUAAUUUUUUGCUAAAAGAUGGGCUCGAAUUAAAUUUUACAUACGCCAUGGCUACGAAGUGGUUGCUCAAUUUGCUGGUUGUCCUAAAUCGUCUUGCCAAGAUACGAGUCAUAAAAUCUUUUGCGUUGUAAUAAAAAUUUCAUCAUUGACCAAAUUUAUUUAUUUUAUUAUGUAUUUAUUUACGUAACAUCCGUCUUUUUAUUUGUGGAGGCCUCAGAAAUCGGCAAAAAAAUUUCUUCAUCGGCCAUGUCAUAUAACAUUUGUUCAUUGUAAGUGUUAUAUCAAAUAAAAAAUAAAUAGGAAGAAUUCCAAAAACAAUCAGUCCAUAUUUUUCAGGAAUAAAUGUGAACAGUUGACAACAACUAAUAAAAUAUUAAAAAAGAAUCAAUAAAUAUACGGAGCAGUCAAUAGAUCCAAAAGGGUGAGACAGAUACCCAAAAUCAUAAACAGGUUCAUGGUCAAGCACCAUUCAUCAUAGAAGUCCACAAUGAUCACCAAUAAGAUUAGAAAUACCAUAAUUUAAAGUUAACAAAGACAACCAUAGACAAGACCAAACAAAUAAACGAGCUAAAAAUGAAUUAUCGGAGUGAAAUUUUUUGAUCAGGUCUAGUGCGUUGAUGGUGGUGAACAUCAUUUAUAAAUAAUAAAUAAUAAAACAGAUGAGGUAGGGAGAGGACUAGCGGCGGUGGUGCGGCUAGAGGUUUGUGGAUUCGCUUACCGGUGGCUAACUCCGGUAAAGCAACAGUGGAGAAGGAAAUGGGGUGGCGGCAAUUGGUGUUGCUGGAUCGGCACUGGUUAAAUCAGCGGGAAGCGGCGACGGGGAGGAAGAACAGAGGUGAAUAGAGAAGAGAGGAGGAGUGGUUGAAGGCUAGUGGUGGUGCGGUGAUUCUCCAGCUGAAAUGUGGCCGAAGAAGGUGGGCAACGACUUUUUUUGUGGGAGAUGAGAAGAUGUGGGUGUGCGUAAAUUGUGUGUGUGGAUGUGUAUUUGUGUUAAAGUGUGUAUUGUAUAUGUUAAAACAAAAAUUAACCCCCUCCCUUCUUAUAAUAAAAAUUGACCCUCUCAAUUGUCCAAAAAAUAAAAAAAUUGACCUCUCUUGUCUCCUCAAAUCUUCUUUUAAUACGAAAGUUAUUAACCGAAGAAUUUUACAUCCUUUUAACCUAUAUAUAAAAAAUAUUUAUUCAACGGAUGAAAAUCUCAAUCCGUCACUUCAAACAUCAACUUUUAAAAAGUGACGAGACCUUGACCUGACUGAUUUAUUGCUCUGUGUAUAAAAAUAAUCGAG